GCGCUCGCUUCAGCAGCAUAUCUACUAAAAUUGGAACAAUACAGAGACGAUUAGCCUGGCCCCUGCACAAGGAUGACACGCAAAUGCAUGAAGCGCUCCAUAUAUUU
ensembl:snRNA U6 U6 spliceosomal RNA